CCUACGGGGGACAGCAGUCGAGAAUCAUUCACAAUGGGGGAAACCCUGAUGGGGCGACGCCGCGUGGGGGAAUGAAGGUCUGCGGAUUGUAAACCCCUGUCAUGUGGGGGCAAAUUAAAAAGAUAGUACCACAAGAGGAAGAGACGGCUAACUCUGCGCCAGCAGCCGCGGUAAUACAGAGGUCUCAAGCGUUGUUCGGAAGCACUGGGCGUAAGGCGUGCGGAGGCUGUUUCGUAAGGCGUGUGUGAAAGGCGCGGGCUCAACCCGCGGACGGCACAUGAUACUGCGAGACUAGAGUAAUGGAGGGGGAACCGGAAUUCUCGGUGUAGCAGUGAAAUGCGUAGAUAUCGAGAGGAACACUCGUGGCGAAGGCGGGUUCCUGGACAUUAACUGACGCUGAGGCACGAAGGCCAGGGGAGCGAAAGGGAUUAGAUACCCUUGUAGUC
rnacentral:rRNA from 1 species